UCUCUCUGUGCAAAAAGCAGCAGCAGAGCAAGAAUGAUAAAGAGACGCACACUCUGCUCCAUCUUCUUCUUCAUCUUGUUUAACUUGUUCCUCAUCGUCUUCUUAUUCGUCUUCAUCAGCAUCACUUUGCUCUACAACCACUUUUUCCUUUUUGCUCUUGCACUCAUACAAGAAGUUCAGCUUCAUCUUGAGGUUGAGGUUGGGGACGAGAUUGCUUGGGACGGUCGUGGUGUCGGUGGUUCGUAGGCUCGUCUUCGUCGUCGUUGAGAUUGUCUGGCAAAGAACGCUUUUGUGCGGGCAUUGAUGUCACACUCAAAAACCAAAGAGAGAGAGAGAGAGAGAGAGAGAGAGAGAUUGAUUGUGGGUAGUGAAGAAGAGGAGAGUCUCUGGGUCUUAGCUUCCAGAAUACCAAAUCGUAAGUUUCUUGUUCGAGAUGGAAAAAGAAGGAAAGAAAAACAACAAAAGAUGGGAGAUUUUCGCUAGUUAGCAACAAUGAAAGAGGCUGCUAUAGAGGUAAAGACAUUGCCAGGGGCAGAGAAGAAGAAGCCAGCUUUUCUCUUUUGCUGACAGGCAUCCCAAGAGAUUGCAUCAGCAAAUGCAGAACUCAGAGUUGUCAGUUCAAAUGUGAAGACUGAACACUUCCGAUAGCAGCCAGAAUCUUAGAAACCAUCAUACGCCUCUCAACUGCUCAUGCUAAAUUGAAACUAAGAAGAAAGGUAAACAUCUCUUCACUUUGAUACGCAUAUAAAUUAUGAUUAUAUAAGAUCAUGGUUGUGCCUUUUCCACCUGGUUAGCAUUUCAUUUGUAAUCAUGUUGGCGCAUAUUUUCUGUUGGAUGUUUAAUUUUCCUGUAUAGGUUUCGAAAUCUGAUGGUAGGCUGCUAUGAAAGUUCUAACCUUUGCAAUAUAUCAUGAAGAACCUACUGAGAUGGAGUAGCACAAGCAAGAGAGAGAGAGAGAGAGAGAGUGAGAGAGAGCAAUUGCAAAACAAAUUUUAGGAUAAUAAAGUUUGUAUUUGGCAUGGUUUGUCUUGUCGUGUAGUGGGGAGGAUUAUGAGAAUUAUUGAAGAUGAAACUCACACUUAGUGCCGCAGAUUUUAUGAGUUUGAGUUAUUUGCACACCCUUUGCCUAUCUAUAGUAUUAAUUAACUGUGAAUAAAGUUUAAAAGAAAUAAAUUAACACUUUCUAUAUACAUAUAUAUAUAUAUAUAUUAUUUUUGCGAAGGUUAUAUUGAUUACUGCAGGUAUAUCUUUGCUUAAAGUUGGUGGCAGAAUGGUGUACUCAACCUGCUCAAUGAAUCCAAUUGAAAAGGAAGCUGUGGUAACUGAGGUGAUAUGUCAGUCAUCCUACUUGCCAAAGAAACACAAUGCUGCAAGAUGGAAACAACCUCUCAAAACUUAGCAAAGAAGAGGAAAACUAGAUUCUAAAGCUCAAACUUUAAUUUGGCAUAAUUUAUGGGCCUAUUUGGGAUUUUCAAGGAUCCUAGUAGUUUUUAAUUAGAGUAUUUUAUUAUUUUAGUUUCAUUAAGAUUUUUAGGAAAGUUUAUUAGUUGGUUUCCUUAUUUAAUUAGGUUUUCUAUUAUGUUAGUUU